rnacentral:rRNA from 1 species
AUGCCUCAUCGCCCGAUUCCAUCCGGCCGAUCGCUGGGAGUGCCGUCGUCGGCGAGGCCUGCGUCCAUCGUUGCACCCUGUUCCCUGCCCCCUCCACCUCUCUUCUUCUCGUGUUCGCAACCAACCAUGAACUCCGGCCACCACCACCGUCCUUCGGCCGCUCGCCUCCACUACUACCGUCGGCCGUGCGGUGCGCCUGAGCUUGGCACGGCUGCAGCCGACCUCCUCCAUGACGUUUUCGACCAUCACCGGUCGCCUCCCUGUUGCAAUUGCGACGACCGGGUUGCAAGGGGCGACGGCGAACGAUGGCGGCGUUUCUGCAACAUCAUUUCCAUUGCAAAUUUUUUUGGCAAGAUCAUUUGUGCUGCAAAAUUUCCUUCCGCAAGGACACCCAUGUUGCAAAAAUGUGAAGCCGAAAAAAAUCUGCAACAUCAUCUAUAUUUCAAAUGGUUUCUGCAACAUGAGCUCUACUGCAAAGAGCUCUGCAAUACUACAUUUGUUACAAUGCUGAAGACGAUGAUAGCGUCAGAUCUAACGGCUACCGAGGCGGCAGAUUUUUUGAAAAGAUCUGUCGGCUGA